rnacentral:rRNA from 1 species
UCCUCAUGGCCUUUAUGCUUAGGGCUACACACGUGCUACAAUGGGUGGUACAAAGAGAAGCCAACUCGCGAGAGCGCGCCAAUCUCAAAAAAGCCAUCCUCAGUUCGGAUUGGAGUCUGCAACUCGACUCCAUGAAGUUGGAAUCGCUAGUAAUCGCGGAUCAGCAUGCCGCGGUGAAUACGUUCCCGGGCCUU